rnacentral:rRNA from 1 species
UACAGAGGGGGCUAGCGUUAUUCGGAAUUAUUGGGCGUAAAGGGCUCGUAGGUGGCCAACUAAGUCAGACGUGAAAUCCCUCGGCUUAACCGGGGAACUGCGUCUGAUACUGGAUGGCUUGAGUUUGGGAGAGGGAUGCAGAAUUCCAGGUGUAGCGGUGAAAUGCGUAGAUAUCUGGAGGAAUACCGGUGGCGAAGGCGGCAUCCUGGACCGACAUUGACGCUGAGGAGCGAAAGCUAGGGGAGCAAACGGG